UACAUAUACAUGUAUUGACUUGACCAAGACAGACGGUGAAUUGAGGCUAAUUUAACACUUUGUUUUGGAUUACAUUUUUAGUUAACAAUGAAUUCCAGAUCACUUCUUUGUUUUUGUGCAAUGAUAUUUUAUGUUAUUCAUGCUGUUAACUGUGUUCCCCUGGGUUUAGACAAUGGUUUAAGAAGAAAACGUGAGGUCGUGUCGUCUGUUAAAUCCGUCGACGUCGAUUUAGAAGAUGGUUUGAGAAAGAAACGUGAAGCAGUACAGUCUAUCAAAGCCGUCAACGUCUACUUGAAAGAUGGUUUGAGAAGGAAACGUGAAGCUGUCCCGUCUAAAAGAUCUGUCACCGUCGAUUUCGUUGUACUUACAGCCGCACGGAAUUCAUCUAUAACGACAAGGCAACCCCCGAUUUCAAAGAGCUAAUAACCCCCUUCCUUGACGCGGAAUGUUCAAUUCCAACUAAAUGUAUUUCACUAAGUAGGCAUUGAAUAAAACAAAGUGAUGAAUGUAUACAUCUGUAUGAAGAAGUCUUAA